AUUGAACGCUGGCGGCAGGCUUAACACAUGCAAGUCGAGCGAGCGGCGGACGGGUGAGUAAUGUCUGGGAAACUGCAUGAUGGAGGGGGCUAACUACUGGAAACGGUAGCUAAUACCGCAUACCAUCAGAUGUGCCCAGAUGGGAUUAGCUAGUAGGUGGGGUAAUGGCUCACCUAGGCGACGAUCCCUAGCUGGUCUGGGAGGAUGACCACCCACACUGGACCUGCGCCACGAUCCAGACUCCUACGGGAGGCAGCAGUGGGGAAUAUUGCACAUGGGGCGCAAGCCUGAUGCAGCCAUGCCGCGUGUGUGAAGAAGGCCUUCGGGUUGUAAAGCACUUUCAGCGAGGAGGCGUUACUCGCAGAAGAAGCACCGGCUAACUCCGUGCCAGCAGCCGCGGUAAUAC
rnacentral:rRNA from 1 species